UUUUAUUCAAGAACCUUCUUAAGUUUGGUCCUUGUUCACCAGAGGUGCAUAGUAGUUGUCGAUGCAGAAGCUCAGAGUUUGCAGAAAUCAUCACAGCACAACUGAUGUUGAAGCAGGAUAAGAAAUCAUUCUGCCACCUAAGCCAAUGAUGGACUUCUCCAGAACUCUCUCUGUGCAUACAAAGAGUUCUUGCUAAAGGAGAGCAGUACUUGCAACCUAUUCUAAGUUCUAAUAGCACAAGACUUGAGGUGGGAGUCAACUGCUUUAGUCAUUUUGAAGGCUAGGUGUAUUGCAUAUUUGUUUAGUUGGUCCAAGUUGUAUCCAGCUGUAAAUGCAGAACAACUUCAGGAUUUUAUUAACUCACUAGUUCUGGCUAAGAUAGUUUGUUUAGUUAGCCAGAGAAUUAUUGUAAGCUCAAAUGCCAUAUCUUGUAAUUCUUGCAUCUUCUUGAUGUUGUUACUAAUACCACUUAAUAUAUCAAAAAAAAUAAUAGCACAAGACUUGAGGUGGGAGUCAACUGCUUUAGUCAUUUUGAAGGCUAGGUGUAUUGCAUAUUUGUUUAGUUGGUCCAAGUUGUAUCCAGCUGUAAAUGCAGAACAACUUCAGGAUUUUAUUAACUCACUAGUUCUGGCUAAGAUAGUUUGUUUAGUUAGCCAGAGAAUUAUUGUAAGCUCAAAUGCC
rnacentral:lncRNA from 1 species